AAACAACCACCCUCGUAAGCUUUCUGCGCAAGAACGGCCGCAUCUUUCUCGUGGAUGCCACACGCAACAUUCUUGUCGGUAACAGCUGGAACCAAUCAGUGCAGAGUAGAACGGAGGACAGCGCGAUCGGCGCAACCAUCUACACCCCGACUCGCAUCUACGAAAUCACCGAGCCCAUCAUUCUUGCUGCCAUGCAGGUGGUCAACGAGAGCGGUAGCUUGACGGAGGUGUUGAAGGACAAGGACACGGCCCUCAUCACCUUUCGGUACAAGGGCAACAACGCGUUUCUGAACCUCACAAAGGUGAAGGACUCGUACGGGCUGGACCUCGUUCUUGGCGUCGUGGUCGUGCGGGCUGACUUCGAGAAGGCUUUCUCCACCGCGCGCACGGCGGCCUUCACGGUGACGGUUCUGGUGGUUGUGAUCGCCGCUGUCGUCGCGGUGGUCAUCGCGUGGUUUGUCGUGCGGGAGAUGAAGCGGCUCAUCCCGCAGCUCAUCCGCGCGUCGAACCUUGAGGUGUCCCGCGGCGACGGCAAGGAUCACCGCGUGCAGGGCUGGCUGGCGUACAUUACGGAGAUUCGCGGCAUUCACGAGGCCUUCGUGCGCGUCGAGCGGAGUCUGCGAGAGAUGCGCACGUUUGUGCCGGCGGCCGUCAUGACUCUGGCGCCGUCCGACGGCUCUCACAGCGACGCGGAUCUUGCUGACGGCAAGACGCGCCGUGUGCGUACCCGCUUUAACGCUAACAUUGUCAAGGACAACACGAACGAGUUCUCACGAGUGGAUGUGGCGAUGGUGCUGGUGGAUGUGCACCGCGCCAUGGACACGACUGAGGCGUGCUUUAUUAUGGAUAUCAUCUCGCAACGCGCCGAAGAGUACACUGGCUACAUCGAGUCCGUCAGUUCCAGCAGCUUCUUCGUCAAUUUCGGCACUCAGUCACAGAACCCGCUCGUGGUGUCGAAGAUUUGCCGCUUUGCGCUCGAGGUGUACCAAUCCGUGCCGGACUUCAUGCGCAACCGCGUCGUCUGCUUCGCUGUCCGCAUGCCGUUUCUUGUCGGCACGUGCGGUGCACGGCACAGCAAGGCCCGCGUGGUCUUUGACACGCAGCGGAUGCUGGACAUUUCAAAGGUGCUGUGGGACAUCGGCUGCCACGUCGCCUCCACGACAGACACACUCUCGCACUUCGCCACGAGCAGCGCGCAGAUCCCGUGGUACCGGAUCGACUGCGUGCGCUUUCCGGACGAGGUUUCGCAGGUGACACUGUGCGAGCUGCGUGACCCGCGCUCGUCGCUGCAGGAUAAUGAAGACAUGCCAAAGAAGAUGGGCGACGGCCUCUCGAAAAUGUGCAAGGGCGAGUACAAGCAGGCGCUUAUGAUCUUCGACUCCGCGCACAGCGAGAACGUGCAGCUCAAGCGGCUGCGCAAGAUCUGCAUUGACCGCAUCGCCUCUGGCGACACAAGCAAGUACAUCCAUCUCAUCCAGGACGUCUACGCGCUGGACGCCACCCCCAGUAACCACGAGGACAUGGCGGUGGGCGGCGGCGCUGCGAUGUACGACUACGACGCCGGCAGCCCUGCCGGCGUGGCGACGAGCAGCGGCGAGGUGUGCGAUCCAUCGAACGAGCCACCAUUGCUUGCAUGCAGCUCCUUCGAGAAUGGUGCGGGGAUGCCGGCACCAGUGCUAUCGCAGCCCGCAGCUCACGCCUCGCCUCCUGUUGCGCCCCACACCACGCCAAUCUGCCACUCGAAGACGUCGCCGACGCCGUCCGUGACGACCGGCGGUGAGGCGGCGGAGCCCUCGCACCUCACCGAGCGGGCUGUGACGGCCGCCAUGGGCCCCCGCGAGUUCCCUCCAUGCGGAGCAUCGCAGGUGGUUGGAGCCAGCGGCGCGGGUCCUGGCCUCCCUCCCUUCCAUCCACGAACCCCUGGCGCUACGACGACGGCGGCCAGCGUGCCUGGAAGCUCCCCGCCCUGGGGCGCGCGCGACGACAACGCGAGCGAGGCACCGUCGUUUCUCACGAACGCCUUCGUCUUCGACUCCUCCAUGGCCUCCGCGGACGCUGUUGGUGCGACCGUGCAGGCCGCCGACGAGCCGCAGGUGCUGCGGGACGUGAACCAGCAUGAGUGGCAGGUCUCCCUCUACCCGAUCGGCAGCGGCGCCUUCAGCUUCAUCUACCUGGGCAUGUCAGACGAUGGCGUGCAAGUGGCGAUCAAGCGCAUUCCCCGGCUGCACCGCGGCAUCAAGGAGGAAGAGAUGGUGUCCGAGGUAUGCACGUGCGCCAAACUGCGACAUCCCAACAUUGUUCCCUACAUCUCCUGCUGCGUAACCCAGUCGUACCUGGCAAUCAUCAUGGAAUACAUGCCAGGGGGCUCGCUGCAUGACAUCAUCGACAACUUUGGCAAGCUGCCUCGCACCGUGGUGCGCCGGUUCAUGCUCGACAUCGUGAACGGCCUCGCGUACCUGCAUGAGUCCACCACGCACGGUGACGUGAAGCCGCACAACAUUCUGCUUGGCGUGGACGGCGUCUGCAAGCUCUCCGACUUCGGCUCCGCCUCGGACAGGCUCACGGAGGCGUGCUGCGUCAACGAGGACCGCCUGAUGCGCGGCACGGCCGUGUACAUCUCACCCGAGGGCGCGCGCAACCUUCCACUGACCUCCGCCUCUGACAUCUACUCGCUCGGUAUCUCGUUCUUGGAGAUGGUGCUUGGCCGCCUGUCGUGGAAGUGGGCCGAUCCCGAGAGUACAGACGAGCUCCCGCUGCGUCACGACCACGAGUUUGUGCAGUGCCUCACCGCCAAUGCCAUUGUCGUCGACAUUCCCGACGACCUGGACAACGACAUGCGCGAGUUGGCGCUGGCGAGCUGCGCUGAGAACCCGGAAAAACGACCGACAGCCCAAGAACUGCUCUCCUUCGCCUUUUUGAUUUGAGAGCUCUGCUCCCCCGUACCUCCUAAGUGUCCAUUGAUGCAUCCCUUCUGUGCAUCACGUUGUUGCUUGCCGCGAAACGCAGAGGAACAUCAGAAGGGAAGGAUACCGCUGCGGCGCUCUGCACGAUGCGAUUAUUUGCCCUGGCUGCCCGCUCCGAACGCGCGCGCCCAUGACGCGCAUGGCUUUUGGGUGCGGUGGCCUCCUUUUGUGCGUGUCGGCGAUUUCUGUGUUUCUCCUCUCUCCGCGUGCGUGCGUUGCCUCUGUUGUUGUUUUCGUGAUACUCUCAUUUUUUGUUCGUGUUCGCUUUGUGUUCUACCUUUUUGCUGUUUUUUUUUUGUUGAUGCUGCACGCAAGCUGCCUCGCCGGGGUCUUUCCUCCGACACACCCACCUGCCACUCCUCUCCUGGCCACUUCCUUGUACGGGAGAAGAGGCCAGCGCGAAGAGGAAUGGACAGUCAUCGAGCGCCUUUGUCUUCUCCGCGUCGCCUCGCGUAGUUCUGAGCACCCCCUCUCUCCCUACCGGCUUGCCUGUUGAUGGCUGCCCUUGUAUCGCUCUUGCUUCUCUCCGUUGGUGGGUAUCUUUUUUUUGGUAGUGGUUUACUUGUUUCUUCUCUGUUCUUGCUGCUGGUUGCAUUUGCCUUCUAUCCUCUCUCUCCCUCCCUAUUGUAUGUGCGUGUGCUCGCGUGGCUUCUGUCGUUGCUGUGAACUCGUCCCCUUCCCUCCCCCCGCUCUCGUAAGUCUUCUUAUCCAAAUGAACUCACAGACACACAGCAAGGGCAUACCGCUCCCUCCGCAUGAUUGAGUCGGGCUUGCUUUGGCCUUUUCCUCAUCGACUGCCAGCACACCGGGGGCCUCACUGCCACCUCUUUUUAUUUUUCUCCCUCGAAGGCGCACGCAAGCAAUCGACAGCCAUCAUCGUCCUUCUUGUGCUGCGCCGGUGCCGUUUGACGUGCAAGGUUUGUUUCUCGGCGCUUUGUGUGCAUGCUGUGGCUGCAUGGGUGGGCCGCCGCCGCCACCGCCCCCCUCCUCCUCUCCCUCUCUGUCUUGCUCGGCCAUUGGUGUUUCUUUUCGCGUUGGCUCCCGCACAUGUGCGAGGGGUGAUGCUAAUGUGUGUGCGUGACGUUCUGCUCUUCAGGUCUUCUUUAUGGCUCCCCAUUCUUUUCCCGUCUCCCGUUCUCGCCUCCCCCACUAUUUCUCUCAUUUUUUCCUUUUUCGUUCUUCACGUUCUAUACCCUUUCCCUCUUUCUUCUCCCCCUACAUAUCCUCUCUGCCUUUUGCCGUUGUACCCGCGCUCUUUCCCUACACACUAAUAACGAAAGGGGUCUCUGUCACUGCACCGGAGAGUGCAUCUACACGUAUGUUUAUAUAUGUGUGUAUGUGUGUGUGUGUGGGUUGAUGGGUAGCAGUGUGCGAGCACGAGUGGGAGAGAGAGGUCGUGCACACAAGGGAAGCACGAGAAGGUGAAGCAUCGCGAACAAGAAGCCACGAGAAGCGGAAAAAAGAAACAGCAAAGAAGGGAAAGAGGAGAAAGACAAAAAAAAGGGAAACGAGAGGAAACAGUGACUCAACUGUUCCCUCAUUUCACUUCUUUUUCUUUCUCUUAUCCUCUUUGACGCACUUACAACCUCGUUUCUUCGUGACAUGCGUUUCGGCCUCGUUGUUUUGUGGUGGCCACGCCCACACUGUCUAACCGCGUCGCUCUUUCUUUCUCACUCUCCUGCUUCUUUUCUCGUGAGCAGUCGCGUGUGGAAGUAUGCGCUUGUGUUAACGCCUCCUCUCUCGUGUGCCUUCGUUUCCCCUUCCGCCCACCGCCUAAGAUGGGACUCUUCUUCGGUUGCUUCUUUUAUUAUUAUUUUUUUAUUGCUGCUGCUGCUGUGGUUGCUGUUCUGCCCGUAGCCCUUUCUAUCUCCACCACCGUUUUCUCUAGACUUUGUGCGUUUCUACUUUUUUCCCGCUCUCUUCUCUCUCGCCUUAUCUCCUUCGUCCACAUCCGACGAGGUGUGAAUCAGAUCGAGAAGAAGAGAGGUACGACGCACAAAAGCGGGACAGGGAAGACGUGGGGAGUGGAUGGAGGGUAAGGGAGGCAAGGAAGCGGCCGUAUUCCAAUCAGUCCUUUUCUUCGUCUUUCUUGACACGCCGAAUCACCGCCCUCUCUUCCCCCCCCCUCCCCACACACACCCUUCCAUCUGUUUUUUGAUUCACUUUCUUCUCGCGUCUGAGGUACAAAAACAACAACAAAAAGAAAGAAAGGUGAAGGAGGGCGCCAGUAGAGGUGAGGCUGCGGUGGGGAGGGGAAGGGUGAGCAGCGGGGAUAAUGAGGGAGCUGCUUGGGGGACGGACAGAGGCCAUACAUGGUACGCUUUUCGUUUUCACCCUUUUAUCACGAAAAAGAAUUGUUGUCAUUCAUGCUCGUACCCCUCUCUCUUAUUUCUACUCCUUUCUCCUCCUCUGGGUAAAGGUCACAUGUUCGUCUUGUUGUCUUCAUUUUCUUCACUCUCCUCUGCCCCCCUCCCCCAUCCUUUCGUUCCCUUUUCCUAUUUUCUCUCUUUUUGUUCUGAUUCCUUUACGUCUUGUCUUCUCGCAUCUUUCCUGCUUUCUCUCGCUGUAGCUGUUUAUGUUGUGUUUCUCAUCAUCUUGUUCGUUUCACAUGUUUGUGCUUCUUGUCUGACGGCUACAUUUCUUCCUUGUAUUCUGCGCCACUCCUUUCUUCCCUUCGUUUUUCUGUUGGACUUUCACCCGCUUCACCACCACGACCAAAAAAAAAGUUUCUGGCGUGCGCCGGUCUCCCAUCACCCCUCACGUCUUCUUUGCGCUGUUUCUCUUGCUCACGCAGCUGAAUCUUGGGUCUCUCUAUCUGGUUCCCCACUCUUUCGGCUUGCUUGCUGCGGCAUGCUCUCUCCUCCUCUCCCUUGAGAGUCUUUCCUCCUCUUGUAGCUCCCUCUCGCGCUUGACAAAGUCUGAUUGGGCCUUGUAGAAGGCACGGACGCACGAACACAGGAGACUCCACAGGGAGGAGCGGACGCCAACAGCUAUUCACACAGACACAUGCACACACAAAGAGAUGUGCACAAGAGGGCUUUUUACACUUGUUGGGCUCCUCUGCUUCCAUGGAUGUCCACCUGUGAAUGCCUCGACGUGCUUUCGACAUUGUUGUUCUUGUUUUGCUGUCCACGGUAUGUGGAACUCCCUUUUUCACAGCCAAGUUUUUUUUUUUGCGUCGUAGUUGCUUGCUUCUCGUUGCAGACGCGUAUGUACCUCGCCACCUUCUCCUUAUAGGAGCGCCUUUACCUCAGGCAAGCGAUGGUGCAUGAGGGGGUGGUAUUUGCACAAUACACAAACACAAACGCAGGUGUUUGCAUGAGCGCAGCGCAGGCCUUGGUGUGUCUGUGCUUGUGUGUGUGAGGAGGGGGAUAUGGUUGUAUACACAACUUCAAUCUUUACUUCUCACUUUUUUCUUGUCGUUUUAUGCCCCGUGCUUUAUGUAUCACUACCUCGCUCUCUGCUUUUGGAUCUCCUCUCUACCCCUGUGUGUGAGUAACACACGUUUUUUUGUUUUCGUUUUCGUGCUUUCUGUCCCUACUUGUGCCAUUGCCCCCUCUCUGUUUCUCUUGUUACUUGCUGUUAUUGUUGUCGGUCUUGCGGUCGCUCGUGAUUGGUGCUGCCACUCAAGCGCUUCUCCCACAAACGCCUGUGCGUGCGUCUGUGGGAGCGCGUAGGAGGAGACGUUAAAAAAGGGGAAGCAUGAAGACAGAUGUACACACUGACCCCCUCCCCCACCCACACAUUCCACGCCCCUUUCUCCAGACUUUCUCUUGUCUCCUUGCUUUUUCUGCGCCGUUCUCGUUCCUUUCUUCGUACUUCACAGUCAAUUCUCAUGUACCCACAGGAACCUCCUUUUCCUCACCACGCCCUUCUCUCCCUGUGCUCUGUUUUUUUUUCCCGCCCUCUUCUUCUCUUACUCCCUCCCACCACCUCCCUUCGCUCACCUCUCGCUGCGUGUGCGUCUUUCUUGAUGAAAAGUUAAAACGAAAAAAUUGCCACAGGAACCGCAUCUGCACCGAAGGCGAAAUACGAGUUGAACCAGAACCGUUGAGACGGUGGACGCCAUCGCUUUUCUGUGUAUUUUGUACGUAUAUCUUUCUUUCCAGUGUGCUUACGCGCGUGUCGCGUUGCACACGUUAUUCUCGUCCUCUAAAGUAGAGAGGCCCAAAUAACGUGACUCUCUCUCUUCGUGUUUCUUUUCCCGUCUCCCCUCCUCCUCCUCAGAGCACGGCGCUAACGAGUCCCCCAUGCGCCUUGCGGCCUGCGCCAACACACACACACACACGCACAUAAUGCUCACAGACAGAAGACCCUAGAGUGUGCAGACUCACGUUGGUCAUCGCCCUAAUCUCUAUGCCUGUCCGGUGAGCCGCGUUGCGUGAUUCUUCGUUGCCUUGCUUAUUGCGCUCUUGUUUGUGCUGUUCCAGAUCUUUGCGUGCGCACAUGCGCAGAGCUGGAGGAGUAAAGAAGGCCGAUAAAUAAUGGGGUAGGGAACUGCGAAGUAUGCCUCUCCCCCUCUCUGGUCACGCUCACUUUCUUGCGCAGGCAUCGGUG
rnacentral:misc_RNA from 1 species